rnacentral:rRNA from 1 species
CCUACGGGGUGCAGCAGUGAGGAAUAUUGGUCAAUGGACGGAAGUCUGAACCAGCCAUGCCGCGUGCAGGAAGACGGCCCUAUGAGUUGUAAACUGCUUUUGUACAAGGGUAAACCUGAAUAUUUGUAUUCAGCUGAAAGUACUGUACGAAUAAGGAUCGGCGAACUUCGUGCCAGCAGCCGCGGUACUACGGUGGAUACAAGCGUUACCCGGAUUUAUUGGGUGUAAAGGGUGCGUAGGCGGAUUGAUAAGUUAGAGGUGAAAUGUCCGAGCUUAACUCGGGAACUGCCUCUAAUACUGUUGAUCUAGAGAGUAGAUGCGGUAGGCGGAAUGUAUGGUGUAGCGGUGAAAUGCUUAGAGAUCAUACAGAACACCGAUUGCGAAGGCAGCUUACCAAUCUAUAUCUGACGUUGAGGCGCGAAAGCGUGGGGAGCAAACAGGAUUAGAUACCCGUGUAGUC